rnacentral:tRNA from 1 species
GCCUGGGUGGCUAAGUGGGUUAAAGCCUCUGUCUUCAGCUCAGGUCACGAUCUCAGGGUCCUGGGAUCGAGCCCCACAUCAGGCU